GUGACCGGCAAUCCAAGGGCUACAGGUCAAUGUCGUGUCCUCAGCUUGGAGAAUGGGUAGCAGAGGAAAGAGACUGCUGGGAUACAUCCACUCAAAGCAUGACAUAGAGCACCCCAAACUCUAAAGUUGAAGCUUGUGAGCAUCCUUGCUACAGAGGGCUCCGUGCCUGGGUGACAGGGUUGUUCAUUAGGGGACCUUUUCAGGGAAGUUCCUGGGGCACCCCAUCUGUACUGGAACUUCAGCUUCAGAGUUAGGCUGGGAACCAGUGGGUCCCUCCUCAGUGAAUAGGUGUUGGGGUCUCCCUGGCUCAGUCAUGGGUGGCUCUUCCAGCCCAGAGCACUGGAUCCUCUCUGCGUUCCUUUCUUCUGAGCACCAGAGCCAAUUAGGGCACAGGUGUGUGCUGCUUUCCACCUGACUAAGGACAUACAGCCUUGUGGUGGCUUUUCUCAUAGCCCCUCCUUUCUCUUCCAGUAUGUAUUCACAUGACACAAGCAGAUGCACACACUACCAACACAUCUGAUACAGGUAUUAAAUAAACAUGAUUUCAUAACCUCCACAGGCAAGGACACCCAAUCAACCUAAUAACCAUAUAAGAAGAAAUGCUUGAAAGUAAGAGUUGGUUCUCUCUAUUUCAUUUCAAAUAAGCACGGCCACACUGUUCAUCGUCUAAACCACUCAGACUCGCAGUAAAUAGGCUCAUACUGGCGUUGCUCUAAAUACAUUAUUUAUUUUGUUAA
rnacentral:lncRNA from 1 species